AAUGGUACUCCCUCAAGAGAACUGAGGCCGAACAGCGCGGAGGCGCGAUUCGGGAAAGCGUCGUGCGGUUUGGGAUAGAACCGUGGGAGCUUUC
rnacentral:sRNA from 12 species